UUCUCCAAUCCUUACUCGUGCGUUAUUUUCAGGAAUCUCCAAACGCAACCAAUUUAUUGCCAUGACAAAAAAAGGAUUUCGAUGAUGCAAGGAAUCUAGUAGGACUGCCUAGAAACACAUUUAAACUCUAAUACUUGUUGUACUAUAUCUUAUUUUCAAACAUGUUGUAAUUGUUUCCAAUCUUUGUAUGAGACCAUUACUCAAUGAAAUGAAAUGAAACUUAAUUAGUUGUAUGUUAUUUAUUUCAAACUUGUGGUAUUUCUAUAGAUCAAACAAUGUAAAAAGUAAUUAUUAAAUACCCGUCACAAUUAUUGUUAUGA
rnacentral:lncRNA from 1 species